rnacentral:rRNA from 1 species
AUUGAACGCUGGCGGCAUGCCUUACACAUGCAAGUCGAACGGCAGCACGGGAGCAAUCCUGGUGGCGAGUGGCGAACGGGUGAGUAAUAUAUCGGAACGUGCCCAGUCGUGGGGGAUAACGCAGCGAAAGCUGUGCUAAUACCGCAUACGAUCUCUGGAUGAAAGCGGGGGAUUCGCAAGGACCUCGCGCGAUUGGAGUGGCCGAUAUCAGAUUAGCUAGUUGGUGGGGUAAAGGCCCACCAAGGCGACGAUCCGUAGCUGGUCUGAGAGGACGACCAGCCACACUGGGACUGAGACACGGCCCAGACACCUACGGGUGCUG